GCGCCCAUGGCUCAAUUGGAUAGAGUAUCUGACUACGGAUCAGAAGGUUAGGGGUUCGAAUCCCUUUGGGCGUGCCA
rnacentral:tRNA from 1 species